UUGACCUCAAAUCAGGUAGGACUACCCGCUGAACUUAAGCAUAUCAAUAAGCGGAGGAAAAGAAACUAACAAGGAUUCCCUUAGUAACUGCGAGUGAAGAGGGAAGAGCUCAAAUUUAAAAUCUGGCAGUGUUUUGCUGUCCGAGUUGUAAUCUAGAGAAGUGCUGCCCGUGCUGGACCAUGUACAAGUCUCCUGGAAUGGAGCGUCACAGAGGGUGAGAAUCCCGUCUUUGACAUGGACUACCAGUGCAUUUGUGGUGUGCUCUCAAAGAGUCGAGUUGUUUGGGAAUGCAGCUCUAAAUGGGUGGUAAACUCCAUCUAAAGCUAAAUAUUGGCGAGAGACCGAUAGCGAACAAGUACCGUGAGGGAAAGAUGAAAAGAACUUUGGAAAGAGAGUUAAACAGUAUGUGAAAUUGUUGAAAGGGAAACGCUUAAAGUCAGUCGUGUCGGCCAGGGAUCAACUCAGCUUUCUCUGCUGGGUGUACUUCCUGAUCUGAUGGGCCAACAUCAGUUUUGACUGCUGGAGAAGGGCAGAGGGAAUGUGGCACCUUCGGGUGUGUUAUAGCUGCUCUGUCAGAUGCAGUGGUUGGGACUGAGGAAAGCAGCAUGCCGCAAG
rnacentral:rRNA from 1 species